UCGUAAACAAUAUCCAAAUCAAAUAAAAUCCUCAUUACAAUUAUUAUUACACUAUUUUAUAGUAUAGUGAGGACUAUUAUUGUGACGCCCCCAAAAUAGGUAUACAUCACCCAUUCUGAGUCGUCAAAUACAUGGUACAGAAAAACAACUACAACUUUAUUAAUACAAUUGUCGUGUAGAAUACGACAACACAUACUGUGAGUUUAAAUACAAUAUUGCCUUCUAGACAUUAUCCACACCCAAAUAACGUCCUCAUUACAAUUAUUGAUGCACUAUUUUACAAAAUAGCGAGGACUACUAAAACAGUUAUCUUGAGUCAUCACUCCAUACCCCGGCUAGUCUCUGCUAAACUCUCACCUCCUGAGAAGAAAAAUGGAACAAAAAGGAAAAGGGUGAGCUCAACUAGCCCAGUAAAGAACAUUAUGAUUAAGAUAAUAUACAACAAAUUAUCCUUAGUCUUCAACUGAAAAAAAUCUGAUAGAAUACAAUAGACAACAAGUUUUAGAUCAACAAAUAUAGCGAAAACAUCAAUUCAUUAGAAGAGUUAAGUAGAGAAUGAAAUCUAUUAUCAUCUAUGAAUUUAAGAGUCCAUCCUCAAUAUUUUAUCCCUGUAACAUCAAUCAAUAUACAUCUUUGCACUACGGGCAAAAGAUAUUCAUUUGUAUCACCAGU
rnacentral:lncRNA from 1 species